rnacentral:rRNA from 1 species
GUCUAUGGCCAUACCACCCUGAACGUGCCCAAUCUCGUCUGAUCUCGGAAGCUAAGCAGAGUUGGGCCUGGUUAGCACUUGGAUGGGAGACCAGUGUGGCUAAACC